rnacentral:rRNA from 1 species
UACGUAGGCAGCGAGCGUUGUUCGGAGUUACUGGGCGUAAAGGGUGUGUAGGCGGUUGUUUAAGUUUGGUGUGAAAUCUCCCGGCUCAACUGGGAGGGUGCGCCGAAUACUGAAUGACUAGAGUGCGGGAGAGGAGAGUGGAAUUCCCAGUGUAGCGGUGAAAUGCGUAGAUAUUGGGAGGAACACCGGUGGCGAAGGCGGCGUCCUGGACCAAUUCUGACACUGAGGAGCGAAAGCCAGGGGAGCAAACGGG